GGGCGUAGGACCCUCUGAGCCACGUGCGGGAUAUAAUCUCGUUGUGCGCCGUUUUUUAAGCCCGUCGGAAAAGUGCAGUAUUCGGGUGGGAGUGACCCAAUUUUCCAGGUGCCGUCCGUCACCCCUUUCUUUGACUCGGAAAGGGAACUCCCUGACCCCUUGCGCUUCCCGAGUGAGGCAAUGCCUUGCCCUGCUUCCGCUCGCGCACGGUGUGCGCGCCCACUGACCUGCGCCCACUGUCUGGCACUCCCUAGUGAGAUGAACCCGGUACCUCGGAUGGAAAUGCAGAAAUCACCGUCUUCUGCGUCGCUCACGCUGGGAGCUGUAGACCGGAGCUGUUCCUAUUCGGCCAUCUUGGCUCUAGUUUUUUGUAUUUUUAGUAGAGACAGUGUUUCACCGUGUUAGCCAGGGUGGUCUUGAUCUCUUGACCUCGUGAUCCGCCCACCUCGGCCUCCAGAAGUGCUGAGAUUACAGGCAUGAGCCACCACGUCCAGCCUAGAAAAUGGGUUUCUAUUAUUUGAGGACAUCAAUUAGUUGAGUUGUGUGCAGUGUGGUGGUGGAGACAGUGGAGACAGUUGAGCAGCAUGUGUGCAAGCACAGACACAUCAAAGAGAGAGGUUUCUGUGACUGGCAGAUACAGCAUGAAAUGUCUCUGCGGAAGAUGCUCUUUGUGGAGUGAAUCGUUAACUGGGGAGGAGGCCACCUAGAUUCAGUUAUAGAACAUCGUGGAUUAGAUUGUCAUACAUCAAGGAGCCGAGGACCAUUCCCUGGGUAGCGAAGGCCUCCCACAGACAUCUGGGAUCCAGUGCCAAAAUAUGCAUUCUAGAGCCUUCAAGCAAAACUAGGUCUUCUGCCAGCAAGAACGCUGAAUCAAAGCUUUCUGUAUCCCACUCCCUCUAAAAACCCUUUAUCAAACUUUCACCACACAAAAAUGGAAGCAUUUCAGUCUCUGAAGCAGUUCAAUGUGACUGUGGCUACUGCAUCUUGAAGGGGAUAUUCAUUCAUUCAACAAAUGCAUUUUAAAUUCUGCAAUGUGAUCAACACCAUGCUAGACACGAGAGAUACAGCAGUGAGCAUGUGUAGUCACGGUCCCUGCCAUCUGGGAGACUCUUCUCAAAUAAAUCACAAACAAAUGUAAAAUUGCAACAGUGACCCAAAGGAGAGGGACAUACAUGGCUGAUGUGUAUUCUGCCGUCCUUCACUUUCCUUCCCUCUGUACACACAAUGCUGUUCUGCCCCUCAAGAGGUGAAGUCUUUUCCCUCCCUUGAAUCAGGACUGGCCUUGGGAAUUGCUUUGAGCAGCGUACUGGAGGGACACUGAGACUUCUGAGCCAAAGCCUUAAGAGAACGGGCAGAUCUAUUUCUACCCUCUUAGAAGCCAUUGGCCAUAUGAAAAGCCCAACUAUCCAGAGACCACCGUGGUGUGAAGAAACCAAGCUGGUCUGAGGGACAGGCUCUAUGGAGGCAGCAAUGCCCAGCCAUGUCUCCACUCUUCAGCCACCCCAGCUGAGACACCAGGCACGUGAUUGGAGAAGCCAUCUUGGACAUUCCUGCCCCAGUAAACACACGGGGAGCAGGAAGAUCACCCCGCUGAAGCCAGUCCAGACUGAAAAAUUGUGAGAAAGAAUCAAUUGUUUAAAGCUACGGAGUUUUGGGGAGGGGUGUUAUACAGCUGUAGAGCUGUUGCCAUGGGCUCCCAGAGCGCCCAAUCCCCUGUGUCCUGGACCCUUCAAGCCCUGUCUCCAGUACCCCUGGGACUGCUCCCCCUACCUGUGUGUUAGUACUAAGUGGUUAAUUCCUGGUCCAGAAGGAAGCCUCCAUGAUCUUGUCCCAGCAUCCAUUCUAAUGGGGCCUAGGUUCUGGUUGGUCAAUAUCUGCACAGUACCAGUCAAGGUUUUGAGUAGCAACCUUGGCUGCAGGGUGCUCUCAGGUCUUAUAGUGAUGGCGUUUUACCUCUUCAAAGAGUCCAGGAAAGGAGUCUGUGAGGAAGUGGCACUGAGCUGAGAUCUGAAGUGUGUAAAGGUGUGAAUUUGGUGGUGAAGGAGAGGGAGGCAUGACUUCAGAGGGGGCAUGUAGGAGGGCUUUGUGGUAGGACAGAAGACGGUGGAAAGAGGAACUGUCUGGACCUUAUAAUGCAGGGCACGGUGGAUUAGACUAGACAGCACCCUUCCCUAGGCUGGCCAAAGACCUAGGAGAGUCUGACUAAGACUGAUGCAUGCUGGAAGGUGACUGACCAGCCCAAUCAGGUCCUGUCUUUCAAAGAGUUCAAAUCAAGAUGCACCAAGAGAGCCAGUUGGUCAAGAGCAGAAGUGCAGCUGAGCCACCAUAAUGAAGGCUGGGGCUGGGGCACAGGACACCUAUCCUCAGUUGAGGACUGACCUCCAUUGUUGCUGCAAAGCAGAGGUCGCAACCCGCAGGGUGGUUGGUUGGGGUGGCCAAUGUGUCCCUUUUUUGGUCCAUCCACAUAGGGUUGCCA
rnacentral:lncRNA from 10 species